UACGUAGGGUGCAAGCGUUAAUCGGAAUUACUGGGCGUAAAGCGUGCGCAGGCGGUUUUGUAAGUCUGUCGUGAAAUCCCCGGGCUCAACCUGGGAAUUGCGAUGGAGACUGCAAGGCUAGAAUCUGGCAGAGGGGGGUAGAAUUCCACGUGUAGCAGUGAAAUGCGUAGAGAUGUGGAGGAACGACCGAUGGCGCAAGGCAGCCCCCUGGGUCAAGAUUGACGCUCAUGCAC
rnacentral:rRNA from 1 species